ACGUAGGAGGCAAGCGUUAUCCGGAUUUACUGGGUGUAAAGCGCGUGUAGGCGGCUCUGUAAGUUGGAUGUGAAAGCUCCUGGCUUAACUGGGAGAGGUUGUUCAAGACCGCAGGGCUUGAGGGUAACAGAGGGGAGUGGAAUUCCGAGUGUAGCGGUAAAAUGCAUAGAUAUUCGGAAGAACACCAGUGGCGAAAGCGGCUCUCUGGGUUACAUCUGACGCUCAGACGCGAAAGCUAGGGGAGCAAACGGGAUUAGAGACCCCGGUAGUCCUAGCCGUAAACGAUGUGAACUUGGCGUUGGUGGGUUUAAAUCCGUCAGUGCCGAAGCAAACGCGAUAAGUUCACCACCUGGGGACUACGGCCGCAAGGUUA
rnacentral:rRNA from 1 species